CGCUGGCGGCGUGCCUAACACAUGCAAGUCGAACGGAGUUGACCUUCGGGUUAACUUAGUGGCGAACGGGUGAGUAACGCGUGAGAAACCUGCCUUUCAGUGGGGGACAACAGUUGGAAACGACUGCUAAUACCGCAUAAUGUCAUUUGGGGGCAUCCCUGAAUGACCAAAGAUUUAUUGCUGAAAGAUGGUCUCGCGUCUGAUUAGCUAGAUGGCGGGGUAACGGCCCACCAUGGCGACGAUCAGUAGCCGGUCUGAGAGGAUGAACGGCCACAUUGGGACUGAGAUACGGCCCAGACUCCUACGGGAGGCAGCAGUGGGGAAUAUUGGGCAAUGGGCGAAAGCCUGACCCAGCAACGCCGCGUGAAGGAAGAAGGCCUUCGGGUUGUAAACUUCGUUUACCAGGGACGAAAUUUGACGGUACCUGGAGAAAAAGCAACGGCUAACUACGUG
rnacentral:rRNA from 1 species